UACAGAGGGUGCAAGCGUUAAUCGGAAUUACUGGGCGUAAAGCGAGCGUAGUCGGUUAUUUAAGUCGGAUGUGAAAUCCCCGGGCUCAACCUGGGAAUUGCAUUCGAUACUGGAUAGCUAGAGUUCGGCAGAGGGAAGCGGAAUUUCUGGUGUAGCGGUGAAAUGCGUAGAGAUCGGGAGGAACACCAGCGGCGAAGGCGGCAUCCUGGACUGGUCCUGGACACUCAUGAGCGAAAGCGUGGGGAGCGAACAGG
rnacentral:rRNA from 1 species